CUGACAUGGUUCGUUCAUCACUGCUUGUCUGUUGUUCUUGGCAGCUGCUGAGUUUGUCCGGGGACAACUCCUGACCUUCGAUACGAGACAUAUAUAUCGUUCUCUCCCAUUCUGAUCCCUUCUGAUUCAAGUCGCUCGGUGAACAGCAGCAUCUCUACAACAUGCAUGACAGGUUUUACUGAUGAGGGAUUUGACUCUUUUCCUUGGAAACACCAAAGAUGACUCUCGCAAGCAGACCGAUGUUCUUUGCGGAUCAUCGGCGUCGCCGUCACGGGCAGCCAAAUCUAAAUCCAUCCACAUCCCAAUUCCCGAUAAUCUUCACAGACAGAUAGGUAGAUAGAUAGAUGAUCCCAAAUUCCAUGGGAACCAAACAAAUCCUUCUCCGUGAGCAGUUAACGACGCACCGGGAGCCACGAGAUGCUGUUCCUCCUCCUUUGUCGCCCGUGACAUGAACCGGUCAACUAACGCAGGAGUAGUUGGGUGUUCCCCAUCAUCGUUAGAGGGAGGGAGAUGUUGAUCGUUCGAGCUUGGACAUGAGACCAACCCAAAAGCGACGGACAUGAGACACGCAUUAGGUUGAUAUGUUAUUGAUCCGAUGACUGUAUGGUAUUGACAUCCAUGUGAACUGCUACUCUUCUUCUGUUCGAUGUCUAUUUAUCUUUAUAUUAUGUGUAGAACAUGAUUCCAUGUAGUCGAAGAAUCUUCAAGCUCUUGUCAAAUAUGAGCAAAAUAAUUGUUCUGAUCAUCCCCCCCAUCGGCCACAAGGCCCCAUGUCGAUUAGGUUCCGCGGUUGUCAAACCCAUGUGGCUUUGCUUCACACGCAAUUACACCUCCUCCUUAAACUAGAUAGAGUUUUAUGCUUUGUCCCAAAGCCUCCUCCUCGUAUCUCUAAUCUCUUUCUCGUCUCCCUUAAUCCCUUCCUCUUCUCUUCCUAAUCCUCUUCGACCUGUACUUGUUGUUGUUGUUGUUGUUGCUACUUCUCUAUUACUCGCAUCUAUUGGUUCAUGGGGUGUAGAGGUUUCUUGUGAGUAGGAAGAACAGCAACCCAUACCACAAAUCACCUUGGAUUUCCUGUCCUUUUUAUCCUCUCUUCCUAUAUAUAUUCCGCCAUGGACAGCAAGAACUCCGCCUGCGGCAACCCUAACCCUAAUCCAACCCUUGGCCCUUCCAAGCUCAUGCUGGCCUUCCGCUUCCUGAGAGCCCUCUCCCUCGUGCACCGAACGACGCCCGCCUCCUCUCGCACCUGUCGAGGCCGUAGAAUAGAGCGCGCCGCCUAUGCUUCCAUGGCCUACUCGGCCGGCACCGGUCGUGGUUGGAGCCGGGCUGUGCUUCGCAGGCUCCACCACCGGGCUCGACGCCGAGCUGUUGCUCCAAGAAGACUGAGCACCACCGCCGGAAACCGGGCGGAAGCCCUCCGACAGCUGGUGCCGGGAGGAGCAGGCAUGGACUACUGCACCUUGCUCGAGGAGACUGCGGACUACAUAAAGUGCCUUACCAUGCAGGUAGAGCUCAUGCAAGGCAUCGUGGAUUCUUCCUCUUCUUACGGUCCAUGAUCUGAGGAGAAAGAACAGAUUACAAAUGGAGGAGAGGGAAUCAAUCUUUUUAGAGUUUUGAAGCCUGCUUUUUAGCUUUGUGGGACUGCAGCUUGUGACUUGAGAGUGGUGCUGUCAAUCCUCACUAGCUAGAUUCUAAUUCCUUGGGUUGUUGGAUAGCCUGGUUUUGUAUAUUUAUGUUGAUAUCACCUUCCUUUUUCUA